GUACCCCACUAUGCCUAGCCUUAAACUUUGAUAGUAAGACCUACUAUCCGCCAGAGAAUUACGAGCGAAAAGCUUAAAACUCAAAAGACUUGACGGUGCCCCAAACCAACCUAGAGGAGCCUGUCCUAUAAUCGAUGACCCGCGCUUUACCCCACCUGCCCUCGCACAAAUCAGCCAGCCUAUAUACCGCCGCCUUCCAGCCUACCUUACAAAAGUAACACAGCAAGCAAAAUAGCCCCUCCGCUAAAACGUCAGGUCAAGGUGUAGCUAAUGGGCAGGAAAGAGAUGGGCUACAUUCUCUACGCACAUAGACCACCACCCCCGGUAUCAUGAAAACAUACCUCAAAGGAGGAUUUAGUAGUAAUUUAGGCAAGACUUCCUAAAUGAAUCCUGCUCUGGGGCGCGUACACACCGCC
rnacentral:rRNA from 1 species